rnacentral:rRNA from 1 species
GGUUAAGCGACUAAGCGUACACGGUGGAUGCCCUGGCAGUCAGAGGCGAUGAAGGGCGUGCUAAUCUGCGAUAAGCGCCGGUAAGGUGAUAUGAACCGUUAUAACCGGCGAUACCCGAAUGGGGAAACCCAGUGUGACUCGUCACACUAUCAUUAACUGAAUCCAUAGGUUAAUGAGGCGAACCGGGGGAACUGAAACAUCUAAGUACCCCGAGGAAAAGAAAUCAACCGAGAUUCCCCCAGUAGCGGCGAGCGAACGGGGAGGAGCCCAGAGCCUGAAUCAGCAUGUGUGUUAGUGGAAGCGUCUGGAAAGGCGCGCGAUACAGGGUGACAGCCCCGUACACAAAAGCGCAUGUGCUGUGAGCUCGAUGAGUAGGGCGGGACACGUGGUAUCCUGUCUGAAUAUGGGGGGACCAUCCUCCAAGGCUAAAUACUCCUGACUGACCGAUAGUGAACCAGUACCGUGAGGGAAAGGCGAAAAGAACCCCGGCGAGGGGAGUGAAAAAGAACCUGAAACCGUGUACGUACAAGCAGUGGGAGCCCCACCACUAAGCCAGUGGUGAACUCCACAUACGCAUCCUUUGCUGAGGAUACGGUUAACGGAGCGAAAGCGACGUUCAACCUCAAAAGAAGCAGAGGGGGCUUAGUGGUGGGGUGACUGCGUACCUUUUGUAUAAUGGGUCAGCGACUUAUAUUCUGUAGCAAGGUUAACCGAAUAGGGGAGCCGGAGGGAAACCGAGUCUUAAUUGGGCGUUAAGUUGCAGGGUAUAGACCCGAAACCCGGUGAUCUAGCCAUGGGCAGGUUGAAGGUUGGGUAACACUAACUGGAGGACCGAACCGACUAAUGUUGAAAAAUUAGCGGAUGACCUGUGGCUGGGGGUGAAAGGCCAAUCAAACCGGGAGAUAGCUGGUUCUCCCCGAAAGCUAUUUAGGUAGCGCCUCGUGAAUUCAUCUCCGGGGGUAGAGCACUGUUUCGGCUAGGGGGCCAUCCCGGCUUACCAACCCGAUGCAAACUGCGAAUACCGGAGAAUGUUAUCACGGGAGACACACGGCGGGUGCUAACGUCCGUCGUGAAGAGGGAAACAACCCAGACCGCCAGCUAAGGUCCCAAAGUCAUGGUUAAGUGGGAAACGAUGUGGGAAGGCCCAGACAGCCAGGAUGUUGGCUUAGAAGCAGCCAUCAUUUAAAGAAAGCGUAAUAGCUCACUGGUCGAGUCGGCCUGCGCGGAAGAUGUAACGGGGCUAAACCAUGCACCGAAGCUGCGGCAGCGACACUGUGUGUUGUUGGGUAGGGGAGCGUUCUGUAAGCCUGUGAAGGUGGCCUGUGAGGGUUGCUGGAGGUAUCAGAAGUGCGAAUGCUGACAUAAGUAACGAUAAAGCGGGUGAAAAGCCCGCUCGCCGGAAGACCAAGGGUUCCUGUCCAACGUUAAUCGGGGCAGGGUGAGUCGACCCCUAAGGCGAGGCCGAAAGGCGUAGUCGAUGGGAAACGGGUUAAUAUUCCCGUACUUGGUGUUACUGCGAAGGGGGGACGGAGAAGGCUAUGUUGGCCGGGCGACGGUUGUCCCGGUUUAAGCGUGUAGGCUGGUUUUCCAGGCAAAUCCGGAAAAUCAAGGCUGAGGCGUGACGACGAGGCACUACGGUGCUGAAGCAACAAAUGCCCUGCUUCCAGGAAAAGCCUCUAAGCAUCAGGUAACAUCAAAUCGUACCCCAAACCGACACAGGUGGUCAGGUAGAGAAUACCAAGGCGCUUGAGAGAACUCGGGUGAAGGAACUAGGCAAAAUGGUGCCGUAACUUCGGGAGAAGGCACGCUGACACGUAGGUGAAGUGAUUUACUCAUGGAGCUGAAGUCAGUCGAAGAUACCAGCUGGCUGCAACUGUUUAUUAAAAACACAGCACUGUGCAAACACGAAAGUGGACGUAUACGGUGUGACGCCUGCCCGGUGCCGGAAGGUUAAUUGAUGGGGUCAGCGCAAGCGAAGCUCCUGAUCGAAGCCCCGGUAAACGGCGGCCGUAACUAUAACGGUCCUAAGGUAGCGAAAUUCCUUGUCGGGUAAGUUCCGACCUGCACGAAUGGCGUAAUGAUGGCCAGGCUGUCUCCACCCGAGACUCAGUGAAAUUGAACUCGCUGUGAAGAUGCAGUGUACCCGCGGCAAGACGGAAAGACCCCGUGAACCUUUACUAUAGCUUGACACUGAACAUUGAGCCUUGAUGUGUAGGAUAGGUGGGAGGCUUUGAAGUGUGGACGCCAGUCUGCAUGGAGCCGACCUUGAAAUACCACCCUUUAAUGUUUGAUGUUCUAACGUGGACCCGUAAUCCGGGUUGCGGACAGUGUCUGGUGGGUAGUUUGACUGGGGCGGUCUCCUCCUAAAGAGUAACGGAGGAGCACGAAGGUUGGCUAAUCCUGGUCGGACAUCAGGAGGUUAGUGCAAUGGCAUAAGCCAGCUUGACUGCGAGCGUGACGGCGCGAGCAGGUGCGAAAGCAGGUCAUAGUGAUCCGGUGGUUCUGAAUGGAAGGGCCAUCGCUCAACGGAUAAAAGGUACUCCGGGGAUAACAGGCUGAUACCGCCCAAGAGUUCAUAUCGACGGCGGUGUUUGGCACCUCGAUGUCGGCUCAUCACAUCCUGGGGCUGAAGUAGGUCCCAAGGGUAUGGCUGUUCGCCAUUUAAAGUGGUACGCGAGCUGGGUUUAGAACGUCGUGAGACAGUUCGGUCCCUAUCUGCCGUGGGCGCUGGAGAACUGAGGGGGGCUGCUCCUAGUACGAGAGGACCGGAGUGGACGCAUCACUGGUGUUCGGGUUGUCAUGCCAAUGGCACUGCCCGGUAGCUAAAUGCGGAAGAGAUAAGUGCUGAAAGCAUCUAAGCACGAAACUUGCCCCGAGAUGAGUUCUCCCUGAGACUUAGAGUCUCCUGAAGGAACGUUGAAGACGACGACGUUGAUAGGCCGGGUGUGUAAGCGCAGCGAUGCGUUGAGCUAACCGGUACUAAUGAACCGUGAGGCUUAACCUU